GACGAACGCUGGCGGCGUGCUUAACACAUGCAAGUCGAACGGAAAGGCCCUGCUUUUGUGGGGUGCUCGAGUGGCGAACGGGUGAGUAACACGUGAGUAACCUGCCCUUGACUUUGGGAUAACUUCAGGAAACUGGGGCUAAUACCGGAUAGGAGCUCCUGCUGCAUGGUGGGGGUUGGAAAGUUUCGGCGGUUGGGGAUGGACUCGCGGCUUAUCAGCUUGUUGGUGGGGUAGUGGCUUACCAAGGCUUUGACGGGUAGCCGGCCUGAGAGGGUGACCGGCGACAUUGGGACUGAGAUACGGCCCAGACUCCUACGGGAGGCAGCAGUGGGGAAUAUUGCACAAUGGGCGGAAGCCUGAUGCAGCAACGCCGCGUGCGGGAUGACGGCCUUCGGGUUGUAAACAGCUUUCGCCUGUGACGAAGCGUGAGUGACGGUAAUGGGUAAAGAAGCACCGGCUAACUACGUG
rnacentral:rRNA from 1 species